UACGGAGGGGGCUAGCGUUGUUCGGAAUUACUGGGCGUAAAGCGCACGUAGGCGGAUCAGUUAGUCGGGGGUGAAAUCCCGGGGCUCAACCCCGGAACUGCCUUCGAUACUGCUGGCCUGGAGUCCGAGAGAGGUGAGUGGAAUUCCGAGUGUAGAGGUGAAAUUCGUAGAUAUUCGGAGGAACACCAGUGGCGAAGGCGGCUCACUGGCUCGGUACUGACGCUGAGGUGCGAAAGCGUGGGGAGCAAACAGG
rnacentral:rRNA from 1 species